rnacentral:tRNA from 1 species
GGGAUCUACGGUAGUGCAACGGACGGGCUUCAAAACAGUGGCCGGCGGGA